rnacentral:misc_RNA from 1 species
CUUCCGUAUGGCGCCAAUUCAUCAUCACUACGAACAAAAGGGCUGGACCGAACCGCAGAUCGUGAUCCGCUUCUGGAUCGUUUCGGUGAUGCUGGCGCUGGCCGGUCUCUCCACGCUCAAGCUGCGGUGAACGCGUGACGCCUGUCACUUCCUUCAAGGGCAAGACGGUUGCCGUGUUUGGCCUCGGCGGAUCGGGGCUUGCGAGUUGUCAUGCGUUGAAGGCGGGCGGCGCGGAAGUGAUCGCCAGCGACGAUACGCCGGCGAAACUUGCGGAAGCGGCGAGGGCCGGUU